GUUAAAACACCCUUCCCCGUACGUACACUGAAGUUAAGCAACGUUGAGCCUGAUCAGUACGUAGAUGGCUGAUCGCUUGGGAAUAGCAGGUGUUGUAAG